UACGGAGGCCUCGAGCGUUGUUCGGAAUCACUGGGCUUAAAGCGCGUGUAGGCGGAGCGGUAAGUACCUUGUGAAAUCCCCGGCUUCAAUCCGGGAACUGCUUGGUAUACUGCCGGUCUUGAGGCAGGUAGGGGUCACUGGAACCUUAGGUGGAGCGGUGAAAUGCGUAGAUAUCUAAGGGAACGCCUGUGGCGAAAGCGGGUGACUGGGCCUGACCUGACGCUGAGACGCGAAAGCGUAGGGAGCAAACGGG
rnacentral:rRNA from 1 species